AGAGUUUGAUCCUGGCUCAGAUUGAACGCUGGCGGCAGGCCUAACACAUGCAAGUCGAGCGGUAACAGAAAGUAGCUUGCUACUUUGCUGACGAGCGGCGGACGGGUGAGUAAUGCUUGGGAACAUGCCUUGAGGUGGGGGACAACAGUUGGAAACGACUGCUAAUACCGCAUAAUGUCUACGGACCAAAGGGGGCUUCGGCUCUCGCCUUUAGAUUGGCCCAAGUGGGAUUAGCUAGUUGGUGAGGUAAUGGCUCACCAAGGCGACGAUCCCUAGCUGGUUUGAGAGGAUGAUCAGCCACACUGGGACUGAGACACGGCCCAGACUCCUACGGGAGGCAGCAGUGGGGAAUAUUGCACAAUGGGCGCAAGCCUGAUGCAGCCAUGCCGCGUGUGUGAAGAAGGCCUUCGGGUUGUAAAGCACUUUCAGUCAGGAGGAAAGGUUAGUAGUUAAUACCUGCUAGCUGUGACGUUACUGACAGAAGAAGCACCGGCUAACUCCGUGCCAGCAGCCGCGGUAAUACGGAGGGUGCGAGCGUUAAUCGGAAUUACUGGGCGUAAAGCGUACGCAGGCGGUUUGUUAAGCGAGAUGUGAAAGCCCCGGGCUCAACCUGGGAACUGCAUUUCGAACUGGCAAACUAGAGUGUGAUAGAGGGUGGUAGAAUUUC
rnacentral:rRNA from 1 species